rnacentral:rRNA from 1 species
AUGCACAAAACAGAGAUCAGCCAUGUAAUUUUACUGCCUGAUAUGUUAUCAUUUUUACUUUUCUUGUUCAGCGAAGAGUCGCAGUUUGCAAGUACUAUAACUUCAUUCGUAUUUCCUUGGAAAACAGAGUCAGGUGCAACAUUUAUAGACCACUGUCUAAUAUCAGUUAAUGGGGAAAGAAGCAAUGGAAGCAAUGAGCAUAUAAAUUCUGAAAUCAUCCUCGACAACAUCGUGUGCAGAAAAUUUUACAAAGGGAAAGAGCAAACUCUUCUUGUAUCAUACCAGGGGUACAUCAAAUAA